rnacentral:rRNA from 1 species
CACGUAGUUAGCCGGGGCUUCUUGUCCAGGUACUGUCAUUUUCUUCCCUGCUGACAGGGCUUUACGCACCGGAGUGCUUCUUCACCCACGCAGCAUUGCUGCAUCAGGGUUCCCCCCAUUGUGCAAUAUUCCCCACUGCUGCCUCCCGCAGGAGUCUGGGCCGUGUCUCAGUCCCAAUGUGGCCGUCCACUCUCUCAAGCCGGCUACUGAUCGUUGUCUUGGUAGGCCGUUACCCUGCCAACUAACUAAUCAGACGCGGGCCCAUCCUGUACCACCGUGGUUUUCCCUGCUGUGCCAUGCGGCACAGCAGGCUUAUGCGGUAUUAGCAGCCAUUUCUGGCUGUUGUCCCCCGGUACAGGGCAGGUUGCCCACGCGUUACUCACCCGUCCGCCACUAGGUUUAUAUAUCUUCCCUCCGGAGAGUUCCGUCAUAUAAACCCCCGUUCGACUUGCAUGUGUUAGGCAUGCCGCCAGCGUUCAUCCUGAGCCAGGAU